rnacentral:rRNA from 1 species
AUUGAACGCUGGCGGCAGGCCUAACACAUGCAAGUCGAGCGGCAGCGGAAAGUAGCUUGCUACUUUGCCGGCGAGCGGCGGACGGGUGAGUAAUGUCUGGGAAACUGCCUGAUGGAGGGGGAUAACUACUGGAGACGGUAGCUAAUACCGCAUGACCUCGAAAGAGCAAAGUGGGGGAUCUUCGGACCUCACGCCAUCGGAUGUGCCCAGAUGGGAUUAGCUAGUAGGUGAGGUAAUGGCUCACCUAGGCGACGAUCCCUAGCUGGUCUGAGAGGAUGACCAGCCACACUGGAACUGAGACACGGUCCAGACUCCUACGGGAGGCAGCAGUGGGGAAUAUUGCACAAUGGGCGCAAGCCUGAUGCAGCCAUGCCGCGUGUGUGAAGAAGGCCUUAGGGUUGUAAAGCACUUUCAGCGAGGAGGAAGGCAUCAUACUUAAUACGUGUGGUGAUUGACGUUACUCGCAGAAGAAGCACCGGCUAACUCCGUGCCAGCAGCCGCGGUAAUACGGAGGGUGCAAGCGUUAAUCGGAAUUACUGGGCGUAAAGCGCACGCAGGCGGUUUGUUAAGUCAGAUGUGAAAUCCCCGCGCUUAACGUGGGAACUGCAUUUGAAACUGGCAAGCUAGAGUCUUGUAGAGGGGGGUAGAAUUCCAGGUGUAGCGGUGAAAUGCGUAGAGAUCUGGAGGAAUACCGGUGGCGAAGGCGGCCCCCUGGACAAAGACUGACGCUCAGGUGCGAAAGCGUGGGGAGCAAACAGG